rnacentral:lncRNA from 1 species
UUGUGGGGGCUAACGUGUUUAUUUGUUUAAUAUUUCAAAAAUUUCCUCUCCCUCGUGCAAUACGAGUGGAGUAUGGACAUCCUGGAGUAUGGACAUCCCUCUUCUGUAAGGGAUUAUUUGUCUGGGCAUGUACUUCACAGAAUUUAAUGUAAUAAUAUAAGUCCCAAUCAUGUAUUUCUGAUUGUAAAUAUCAGUGUAAUAUAUCUGCUAUAAUAGCAGUUGUAAAUAUCUGUGUAAUGCAGUAAUAUGAUGAUUAAUCAGUAUUCAAAAAAAAA